rnacentral:rRNA from 1 species
AUUGAACGCUGGCGGCAGGCCUAACACAUGCAAGUCGAGCGGAUGAAGGGAGCUUGCUCCUGGAUUCAGCGGCGGACGGGUGAGUAAUGCCUAGGAAUCUGCCUGGUAGUUGGGGAUAACGUCCGGAAACGGGCGCUAAUACCGCAUACGUCCUGAGGGAGAAAGUGGGGGAUCUUCGGACCUCACGCUAUCAGAUGAGCCUAGGUCGGAUUAGCUAGUUGGUGGGGUAAAGGCCUACCAAGGCGACGAUCCGUAACUGGUCUGAGAGGAUGAUCAGUCACACUGGAACUGAGACACGGUCCAGACUCCUACGGGAGGCAGCAGUGGGGAAUAUUGGACAAUGGGCGAAAGCCUGAUCCAGCCAUGCCGCGUGUGUGAAGAAGGUCUUCGGAUUGUAAAGCACUUUAAGUUGGGAGGAAGGGCAGUAAGUUAAUACCUUGCUGUUUUGACGUUACCAACAGAAUAAGAACCGGCUAACUUCGUG